rnacentral:lncRNA from 1 species
CAGUGACGUCAGGCCCGCACGACGGUCUGCGCACGCGCCUUGCCGGAAGCAGCGGGGACUGCUCAGCGGAUGGGUUACAAGUAAGAACGUAAACGAAGGAGUUUGUAAAGUGUGAAGCAACUCCUUGCGUGAGGGAACCGUGAGAGACCGGAAUCUUAUAAUUUGAGUUCCUUGGUGAAAACUGCAGAACCACAGCUAAUGAUUGCUGAAGAGAGGCUUGACACUUCCCUCAGCUCAGAAAACUUCUCAGGAAAACAUCAAAGAAGAAUUCAUAAGUCCUUGAAGACUAAACUAUAUCAUGGAUCCCAGCAGGAUAAAUGGGAACUUUGACAAGAAUGGAGAAUGUGGGACCUCAAAGGUGUAGGUACAAUUGCUCUGCUACUC